rnacentral:rRNA from 1 species
AAUUGGAGGGCAAGUCUGGUGCCAGCAGCCGCGGUAAUUCCAGCCCCAAUAGCGUAUAUUAAAGUUGUUGCAGUUAAAAAGCUCGUAGUUGAAUUUCGGGGUUAGUAGGUUGGUCAUGCCUCUGGUAUGUACUGGUCUCACUGAUUCCUCCUUCCUUAUGAACCGUAAUGCCAUUAAUUUGGUGUUGCGGGGAAUUUGGACUGUUACUUUGAAAAAAUUAGAGUGUUUAAAGCAGGCUAACGCUUGAAUACAUUAGCAUGGAAUAAUGAAAUAGGACGUUCGAUCUUAUUUUGUUGGUUUCUAGGAUUGACGUAAUGAUUAAUAGGGAUAGUUGGGGGCAUUAGUAUUCAAUUGUCAGAGGUGAAAUUCUUGGAUUUAUUGAAGACUAACUACUGCGAAAGCAUUUGCCAAGGAUGUUUUCAUUAAUCAAGAACGAAAGUUAGGGGAUCGAAGACGAUCAGAUACCGUCGUAGUCUUAACCAUAAACUAUGCCGACUAGGGAUCGGAUGAUGUUAAUUUUUUAAUGACUCAUUCGGCGCCUUACGGGAAACCAAAGUGU